rnacentral:rRNA from 1 species
UGGGGAAUUUUGCACAAUGGGGGAAACCCUGAUGCAGCGACGCCGCGUGAUUUAGAAGGCCUUCGGGUUGUAAAAAUCUUUUCUAUGGGAAGAAAAUGACAGUACCAUAGGAAUAAGGACCGGCUAAUUACGUGCCAGCAGCCGCGGUAAUACGUAAGGUCCGAGCGUUGUCCGGAAUCAUUGGGCGUAAAGGGUACGUAGGCGGGUAAGCAAGUUAGAAGUGAAAUCCUAUAGCCCAACUAUAGAAGCUUUUAAAACUGCUCAUCUUGAGGUAUGGAAGGGAAAGUGGAAUUCCUAGUGUAGCGGUGAAAUGCGCAGAUAUUAGGAGGAAUACCGGUGGCGAAGGCGACUUUCUGGCCAUAACCUGACGCUGAGGUACGAAAGCGUGGGUAGCAAACAGG